CCAAACAGAAAAAAACACUGUCAACCUUUUUCUUUUUUCAACGAGAUACAAAGCAACAUAAAUUGUACAAAAGAUUCUUCUAUCGCAAUGCUUUAAGCAAGCGAAGGGAAAGGAAGAAAAGGAGACAUCAAAUUUAACUUGCUGAGUAGUUCAGUUUUCUUUGAUCUAUACAUCCGAACAUCAUGAAAGAACCAGAACAAGAACACACCAACAAAAAGAGAGAG
rnacentral:lncRNA from 1 species